rnacentral:tRNA from 1 species
GGAGAGGUGGCCGAGUGGUCGAAGGCGGCGCCCUGCUAAGGCGUUGUACGGUUAAAGCCGUACCGCAGGUUCGAAUCCUGUCCUCUCCG